UAGAGUUUGAUCCUGGCUCAGAACGUACGCUGGCGGCACGCCUAACACAUGCAAGUCGAACGAAGUAGCAAUACUUAGUGGCAGACGGGUGAGUAACAUGUGGGUAUCUGCCCUUUGGCCUGGAAUAACACGAGGAAACUUGUGCUAAUACCGGAUAAGUCUUUACGGAGAAAGCUUUAUGCACCAUUGGAUGAGCCCGCACUUGAUUAGUUUGUUGGUGGGGUAAUGGCCUACCAAGACUGUGAUCAAUAGCUGAUUUGAGAGGAUGAUCAGCCACAUUGGGACUGAGACACGGCCCAAACUCCUACGGGAGGCAGCAGUGGGGAAUCUUGCACAAUGGAGGAAACUCUGAUGCAGCGAUGCCGCGUGAGUGAAGAAGGCCUUUGGGUUGUAAAGCUCUUUCGUCGGGGAAGAAAAUGACUGUACCCGAAUAAGAAGGUCCGGCUAACUUCGUGCCAGCAGCCGCGGUAAUACGAAGGGACCUAGCGUAGUUCGGAAUUACUGGGCUUAAAGAGUUCGUAGGUGGUUGAAAAAGUUGGUGGUGAAAUCCCAGAGCUUAACUCUGGAACUGCCAUCAAAACUUUUCAGCUAGAGUUUGAUAGAGGAAAGCAGAAUUUCUAGUGUAGAGGUGAAAUUCGUAGAUAUUAGAAAGAAUACCAAUUGCGAAGGCAGCUUUCUGGAUCAUUACUGACACUGAGGAACGAAAGCAUGGGUAGCGAAGAGGAUUAGAUACCCUCGUAGUCCAUGCCGUAAACGAUGUGUGUUAGACGUUGGAAAUUUAUUUUCAGUGUCGCAGCGAAAGCGAUAAACACACCGCCUGGGGAGUACGACCGCAAGGUUAAAACUCAAAUGAAUUGACGGGGACCCGCACAAGUAGUGGAGCAUGUGGUUUAAUUCGAAGAUACGCGCAGAACCUUACCAACACUUGACAUGUUCGUCGCGACUUUAAGAGAUUAAAGUUUUCGGUUCGGCCGGACGAAACACAGGUGCUGCAUGGCUGUCGUCAGCUCGUGUCGUGAGAUGUUGGGUUAAGUCCCGCAACGAGCGCAACCCUCACUUUUAGUUGCCAUCAUUAAGUUGGGCACUCUGAAAGAACUGCCAGUGAUAAGCUGGAGGAAGGUGGGGAUGACGUCAAGUCCUCAUGGCCCUUACGUGUUGGGCUACACACGUGCUACAAUGGUAUCUACAACAGGAAGCGAAACAGCGAUGUUAAGCAAAUCCUUAAAAGAUACCUCAGUUCGGAUUGCACUCUGCAACUCGAGUGCAUGAAGCUGGAAUUACUAGUAAUCGUGGAUCAGCGUGCCACGGUGAAUGCGUUCCCGGGUCUUGUACACACCGCCCGUCACACCAUGGGAGUUGGUUCUACCUUAAGGCAAGGUUUAAUACCCUUGACCACGGUAUAGUCAGCGACUGGGGUGAAGUCGUAACAAGGUAACCA
rnacentral:rRNA from 1 species